GCUGGCGGCGUGCCUAAUACAUGCAAGUCGAGCGAAUGAUGAAGAAGCUUGCUUCUUCUGAUUUAGCGGCGGACGGGUGAGUAACACGUGGGCAACCUACCUAGUAGAUUGGGAUAACUCCGGGAAACCGGGGCUAAUACCGAAUAAUCCAUUUUGUCACAUGGCAAAAUGCUGAAAGGCGGUUUCGGCUGUCACUACUAGAUGGGCCCGCGGUGCAUUAGCUAGUUGGUGGGGUAAUGGCCUACCAAGGCAACGAUGCAUAGCCGACCUGAGAGGGUGAUCGGCCACAUUGGGACUGAGACACGGCCCAAACUCCUACGGGAGGCAGCAGUAGGGAAUCUUCCACAAUGGACGAAAGUCUGAUGGAGCAACGCCGCGUGAGUGAUGAAGGUUUUCGGAUCGUAAAACUCUGUUGUAAGGGAAGAACAAGUACGUUAGUAACUGAACGUACCUUGACGGUACCUUAUUAGAAAGCCACGGCUAACUACGUGCCAGCAGCCGCGGUAAUACGUAGGUGGCAAGCGUUGUCCGGAUUUAUUGGGCGUAAAGCGCGCGCAGGUGGUUUCUUAAGUCUGAUGUGAAAGCCCACGGCUCAACCGUGGAGGGUCAUUGGAAACUGGGAGACUUGAGUGCAGAAGAGGAAAGUGGAAUUCCAAGUGUAGCGGUGAUAUGCGUAGAGAUUUGGAGGAACACCAGUGGCGAAGGCGACUUUCUGGUCUGUAACUGACACUGAGGCGCGAAAGCGUGGGGAGCAAACAGGAUUAGAUACCCUGGUAGUCCACGCCGUAAACGAUGAGUGCUAAGUG
rnacentral:rRNA from 1 species